GUUUACAGCCAUGCCACCCUGAACAAGCCUGAUGAACAAGCCAGAUGUGUGAUCUCGAAAGCUAAGCAGGGUCGGGCCUGGUUAGUACUUGGAUGGGAGACCACCUAGGAAAACCAGGUGCUGUAGGCA
rnacentral:rRNA from 1 species